rnacentral:tRNA from 1 species
GCGAGGGUGGCGGAACUGGUAGACGCGCCAGAUUUAGGAUCUGGUGGCCUGGCCGUGGGGGUUCGAGUCCCCCCUCUCGCA